ensembl:lncRNA
AUGACCACAACCGUAAGAUUCACCAUCUCACCAAAAGUUCUAUCCUCUGUCUUUGGGUUGGAAAACGACAACCUAUUAUAUCAUUCUCUAUCGCGCUCUUUCUCCUCCCUCUCUGCCCCCCCCCCCCCCCCCCCCCCCCAUCUCUCUCUUCCCCCCCCAUCUCUGUCAGAUGUGAGUCUCACCCCUCUAAAGAAGCGUAGUCCAUAUGGAGAUAUCACCCUGACUCCUGUGCGUAGAGGUGGUCUUAUGAGGAGCGUCUCCUCUGUGACCAGCAGGGGGCAGGAGAGAGGAGAUGUUAGUCUCACUCCCUUGAAGAAGGCUCGGCCCUCUGAAGACAGGAGAACAGAUCAUGAGGAAGAUGGUGCCAUUGAUGAUCAGCAGGAGACUCUGUUCAUGGGAAAACCCUCUCUGACUAGGGAGAGGAGGAAAUUCAGCCGUGACGAGGAGCGUUACCUGUGUCGAGGUUUGGUCUAUCCUGGAACACCAUCCUGUGGUCCUAUCCCUUCCAGCCGGGGCGCACCAAUGUAGAUCUGGCCAAGACAUACAAACACCUGCAGGCUAAAUUCCAGGGUAUGGAUUCAACCUCUCCCUGAGAUCUGAGAAGAACACACUGAUUUGUCUAUUGUACAUCACAGUAAUAUAUUUGAAAUACUCUAAUUUAAUAUUGAGUAAUAGUUUUGAAGUACUUACAUUUAAUCCCCAGUUUGAAAUUGUUAACUUCUAUUUUGUACUACUGUAAGUAAACUACAUGAAGAUCUAUUUGAAAUGCGUUAAUUUAAUACUCAUUGAGGAUUAAUGACCGAUCUGAUCUGGUGCCUAUGUGAAGUAGUUGAAUAUUAUUUGGAAUAGAAAAAUGGAAAUGAUUAAUGUAACUCGACAUUUUUCAUAAUUUUGUUCACUGUUCAUGUAUGUCUUGAGACUGAGACGGUGGUUCACUUGUCAUCUCCUGAAGUUGUUUCUAUUGCAUUAAACAGAAGGGAGGUCCUAUAUGCAGCACAACACAUCUUUGAAUAGAGUGGAUCAGGCUGUUGAUUGUAGAAUGUUGUCCUGCUCCUUCAAUGGCUAUGCGAAGUUGCUGGAUAUUGGCGUGAACUGGAACAUGCUGUCGUAAUGUAAAUCCAGAGCAUCCCAAACAUGCUCAAUGGGUGACCAUGUCUGGGUAUGCAAGCCAUGGAAGAACUUGGACAUUUUCAACUUCUAGCAAUUGUGUGCAGAUCCAUCACCAUCAUGCUGAAACAUAAGCUGAUGGCUGUGGAUGAAUGUCACAAUAAUGGGCCUAAAGAUCUCGUCACUGUCUCUGUGCAUUCAAAUUGCCAUCGAUAAAAUGCAAUUGUCCGUAGCUUAUGCCUGGCCAUACCAUAACCAAACCGCCAUCAUGGGGCACUGUUCACAAUGAUAUCAGCAAACCGCUCGCCCACACGACACCAUACACGCUGUCUGCCAUCUAUCCAGUAUAGUUGAAACUGAUUCAUCCGUCAAGCGCACACUUCAGAGUGCCAGUGGUUAUUGAAGAUGAUCAUUUGCCCACUGAAGUUGGUUAAGACUGCCGAAAUGCAGUCCGGUCAAGACCCUGGUGGGGACGACGAGCAUGUUGAUGAGCUUCCCUGAGACUGUUUCUGACAGUUAGUGCAGAAAUUCUUCGCUUGUGCAAACCCAGCUGUCCGGGUGGCUCGUCUCAGAUCAUCCCGCAGGUGAAGAAGCCGGAUGUGGAGGUUCUGGGCUGGUGUGGUUAAGCAUGGUCUGCGGUUGUGAGGACGGUUGGGCGUACUGCCACAUUCUCUAAAAUGAAGUUGGAGGUUGCUUAUGGUAGAGAAAUUAACAUUCAAUUCUCUGACAACAGCUCUGGUGGACAAACAUUCCUGCAGUCAGCAUGCCAUUUGCAUACUCCCUCAACUUGAGACAACUGUAUCAUUGUGUUGUGUGAGAAAACUGCACAUUUUAGUGGCAUUUUAUUGUCCCGAGCACAAGGUGCACCUGUGUAAUGAGCAUGCUGUUUAAUCAGCUUCUUGAUAUGUCAUACCUGUCAGGUGGAUGGAUUAUCUAGGCAAAAAAGGAAUGCUCACUAUCAGGGAUGUAAACAAGUUAGUGCACAACAUUUGAUAGAAAUAAGAUUUUUGUGCAUAUGAACAUUUCUGGGAUCUUCUAUUUCAGCUCAUGAAACAUGGGACCAACGUUUAACGUUUAUAUUUUUGUUCAGUAUAGAUAUUAGAGUUGGAGACAAUUUUAUGCAAUCCAGGACUUUGGGUGUGUGAGUGUGGUUUAAACAUGCAUGAAACAUAGGAGACUGAAUGGGAGAAGAAAAGGUAUGUGAAAGUGCAGAGUAAAAACAACUCCAGGAGCUCAUACUUUUCUUACAUGGAGUUUUACCAGCAAUUGGACGUUGGUUCUGAUCGCUAGUGAGAAGAACCUGUUGAGUCAAACUUCUGUUCAAUACUCCUGUGUUAUAUCAGAGGUUUUAUAAACUCAAAUGUUUGACAAUUAUGAUUUAAAUUAGCUUAUAUUAUGAUUUCUGAUAAUCAGGAAUCCCUGAUUAGUUUUUUUACUUCAGAAAACGAAUAAUGAAGUGAUAAUAGCGACCACCAGUCAGACUACAUCAUGAACCUACAUAUGACUAGCUGCUUUCACUAUGUCUUCCUAUUAAAAUAGGCCAGUAGCCCAUCCCCUAAUGGUGACCACAUCUCGAGUGGAUAUAUGAAGUGUUGUUUAUUGAGUUCAGAGCCUGUGGAAUGAUAGGAAUCACAUUUGGAGAAGAACAGGCUGCUGGUCUGACUGUUGCUAUGUCUGGCAGAUCUAGGAUCAGAUCUAUGAUGAUGUUACCCUCUCCAGAUCCUAUCCUUAAUCAUCAUGGAUGAAACACAAAACUGACCAAUGGGAGUGUGUGUGUGGCCACAAGUUCUGUCCUUGAGCUGUUCUUGUUUAUUAAUGUUCUGUAAUAUUUCAUGUUUUGAGUCGACCCCAGGAAGAAUAGCUCCUGCUUUCGCAAUAGCUUAUGGGGAUCCAAUAAAAUACCAAAAUACCCUCACUGACCUAGUCUGCACUGUCAUAAGGGAGAGACUGGGGGAGCGAUGUGGGGUGUAUUCAGUGAGUAAACUGUGAAUAGAGCUGACCAGAUUCUGGAUUCUACAUUAAAAACAAUUAUAUUGGUUCUACACUAUACAUGUCUUAUUUUUUUCUCCCCAAUUUCAAUCUUGUCUUAUCACUGCAACUCCCCAACAGACUCGGGACAGACCAAGGCCAAGUCAUGCAUCUCCCCAAUUUCAAUCUUGUCUUAUUACUGCAACUCCCCAACAGACUCGGGACAGACCAAGGUCAAGUCAUGCAUCUCCCCAAUUUCAAUCUUGUCUUAUUGCUGCAACUCCUCAACAGACUCGGGACAGACCAAGGUCAAGUCAUGCAUCUCCCCAAUUUCAAUCUUGUCUUAUUGCUGCAACUCCUCAACGGACUCGGGACAGGCCAAGUUCAAGUCAAGCGUCCUCCGAAACAUGACCCGCCAAACUGCGCUUCUUAACACCCGCCUGCUAAACCUGGAAACCAGCUUCACCAAUGUGUUGGAGGAAAUACCACUCAACUGAUGACUGCAGUCAGCCUGCAGGUGCCCGGCCUGCCACAAGGAGUCGUUAAUGCUUGACAAGCCAAGUAAAGCCCCUCCUGGCCAGAACCUCCCCUUACCCGGACAACGCUGGCCCUAUGGGUGGUGGUGACACUGCCUGGGAUCAAACCCGGGUCUGUAG